GCUGUUGUUUCAAGUGCGCACUUUUUCUCCGAUGCAUUCAAUGGAAAAACCCAUUCAGAUCCGAAUUCACUAUCAAUUGUAUUAUAUUUACACCUACUUGUUCUGGAAUCCAAACGUAAUUGCCCGUAAUUUGUGCCAACUUCGUCCAUCUGUAGUUUGGUUUUGUUUCACGUUCACAAUAAUUCAGUCCUCGGUUUGACAGUUCAUGUGUCUUUGUGUUGGUGAGUGACUAGUAUGGCGUUUCUUUCCGAACGAGUGAAAGAGUUGUGCGUAACGCACCGUGCUGCCAGAUUUAUUUGCAACACAUUUUGUUUUCAAUAUGGAAAACAAGAAAUGAUGUUGAUUUUCAUGUAUUAAUUUCACCUCUUGCUCAGUCAAAAUGAAUGAGUUCAUUCAUUUUGAACUGGGAGGACGGGGUAAAUGUAACCGUAUGUUCCAUAUUUGUAGUCUUUCGGCUCCUCCUCAAAUAUCCUUUGCCUUAACCCCCCUGCCAGUGGGCACCUAAUGCCUUGCCCAAGUAAAAAAAUAAUAAUAAAUCCCAAAACUGACAGCCUCACUGGUGGCGUAAUCCUAGCUGUCAAUGCAGAGCCAAGUAUUUAUUAUUAAAGUGUCCGUUACGUUCCUGAAACUAAAGUCAUUUAUUUACAGCGGUUUGAGCUUCCAGUCUAUCACUUUUUAGACUGUGUAUUUUGUCGGCAUAAUGCCCCUGCGCAGAAGGGUUGCCAACUUAAAUUCCGAGUGACUCUACUUUGUGUGAGUGAGUUGCCAAAUCUCGGGUAUUACAUUUUCUGCUGACUAAUGCCCAAGAACAGAUUUCAAGACAGAGUCCAAAUCAUUCCAUCUGUGACUAUCAUAGAUAAUUGUAGUGCGCGACGUGUAUUCCAAUAAAUUCUUAAAAACUAGUCAAAAUCUAAAAACUAGUUGAAAAAGUCAAACUUAAAAGCUAGUAGUACGGUAAAUUGUUAAAUAGUAAGCUAUUGUUCUAUUUCUAUCAAAAGAAUAAGGUUCAGCCGCUAUUGUGAAAUAGCAAGUGUUAAGAAAAGGUCCACUUCUGGGCCUUUUCUUUUUGACCUUCGGGGUCCCAAAACCGGAGGACAGUGUUCGUUUUCCCACAGAAAUACCACCGACGCACUGGACACGCCAAGAUCCGCUGGCACACGGAAAUCGCAUCGUCGAUACGCUGUCAUCCCGAAAUCUCUGGCUUCCCUACGGUGGACGGACAUUCCCACCGGAGGCCAUUCUUCGGCACCGCCAUUUUGGAAAUUCAGCGACAAACCACAUGGCCGGUCGAUAACUGCGAUUCAGUGUCCUUUAUCAGAACGGCGUCAGCGGACUCCACCCCUCGGUCGUCGGUAGGAACCGGGCUACACAGAGGUUCCCAAACUCUUGUGGACGUAGACCCCUCGGUAACCAGCAACGCCUCUGCAACCAACAAUCCCCCCUCCGUCAACCCACCGUCAACCAACCACCCACCGUCGCCCACCAGCUGCCCGUUGCCGUAUGCAUGCCACCACCGACCUCAAAGCUAGCCACCGUUCGUCACCACCAGAAUCCAGUAACCGCAAGUACACCUUUAUGAUCAAAUGUUUCUCUCGGUAGGGCCCAGAUUGGGCAAAAUAAACAUAGCUAUGUAAGUUCAAAUAUUGGUGGUUAGUUUCUAUUAGAAAACCGCACCAUUAGUCCAUAUACGCCCUUUUUGUUAUUUUGGUCGUCUUUCCGUGCCCCAUAAGGAGCCUUCACGCCUCGAUCUGGGUAGUCCAUCGGAAAGAUACGGUAUUUACCUUGAAUCUGAUUAACUUUGGUCGUAGAAUUCAGUUGGUGCCCACUCCCUCGCACGGACGUGGUAGCUAAUGUGUAGAAUCCUGCUCCUGCUAAAGGUGAGUGACCAGUUGAGCUUUCGUAACGGUGCUAUUAAUGAAUAAACGACCCCGUGCUCAGUAAUAUUCCCACCCACAAUAUUCCCCACUGAGUGG